UACAGAGGUCCCAAGCGUUGUUCGGAUUCACUGGGCGUAAAGGGUGCGUAGGUGGUCGGGUAAGUCUGAUGUGAAAUCUCCGGGCCUAACCCGGAAACUGCAUCGGAUACUAUUCGGCUGGAGGGUUGGAGGGGGGACUGGAAUACUUGGUGUAGCAGUGAAAUGCGUAGAUAUCAAGAGGAACACCAGUGGCGAAGGCGAGUCCCUGGACAACACCUGACACUGAGGCACGAAAGCUAGGGGAGCAAACAGG
rnacentral:rRNA from 1 species